CCAAACUUGGUCAUUUAGAGGAAGUAAAAGUCGUAACAAGGUUUCCGUAGGUGAACCUGCGGAAGGAUCAUUAUCGAGUUCUGAAGUGUGGCUGUCGCUGGCCUUUGUUCUUACGAAGGCAUGUGCACGUCGCAUUUUCAUCCACUCCUUACACCUUUGUGCACUCUUUGUAGGACUGGUUGAAAGUCAGUUUAUGUGCUGAUUGAUGCCUUUCCUAUGCUUUAUUAUUAACGAGUCAGUAACAGAAUGUAAUAUUGAGUAUAACGCAUUUUAUACAACUUUCAGCAACGGAUCUCUUGGCUCUCGCAUCGAUGAAGAACGCAGC
rnacentral:misc_RNA from 1 species